rnacentral:rRNA from 1 species
UAAUAACUUCUCGAAUCGCACGGCCUUGUGCUGGCGAUGCUUCAUUCAAAUAUCUGCCCUAUCAACUUUCGACUGGUAGGAUAGUGGCCUACCAUGGUUUCAACGGGUAACGGGGAAUAAGGGUUCGAUUCCGGAGAGGGAGCCUGAGAAACGGUACCACAUCCAAGGAAGGCAGCAGGCGCGCAAAUUACCCAAUCCCGACACGGGGAGGUAGUGACAAUAAAUAACAAUAUAGGGCUCUUUCGGGUCUUAUACAUUGGAAUGAGUACAAUUUAAAUCUCUUAAGAGGCAACAAUUGGAGGGCAAGUCUGGUGCCAGCAGCCGGGGGUAAUUCCAGCUCCGAUAGCGUAUAUUAACAGUUGUUUGCGGUUAAACAAGCUCGUAGUUCGAACUUCAGGCCUGGCUGGCAUGGUCCUACCUAACCGGUAUGUACCUGUCUGGCUGGGUCUUACCUCUUGGUGAGGCCGGCAUGCCCUUUCACUGGGUGUGGUCGGGGGCAACCCACGGGACUUUU